CAGCAGCCACGAUAAAACGGAGGGUGCAAGCGUUAAUCGGAAUUACUGGGCGUAAAGCGCACGCAGGCGGUCUGUCAAGUCAGAUGUGAAAUCCCCGGGCUUAACCUGGGAACUGCAUUUGAAACUGGCAGGCUAGAGUCUUGUAGAGGGGGGUAGAAUUCCAGGUGUAGCGGUGAAAUGCGUAGAGAUCUGGAGGAAUACCGGUGGCGAAGGCGGCCCCCUGGACAAAGACUGACGCUCAGGUGCGAAAGCGUGGGGAGCAAACAGGAUUAGAUACCCGCGUAGUCCCUGUCUCUUAUAC
rnacentral:rRNA from 1 species